AGCGCAGACGGUUAUUUAAGCAAGAUGUGAAAGCCCCGGGCUCAACCUGGGAACUGCGUUUUGAACUGGGUAACUAGAGUGUGUCAGGAGGGGGGUAGAAUUCCACGUGUAGCAGUGAAAUGCGUAGAGAUGUGGAGGAACACCAGUGGCGAAGGCGGCCAUCUGGGACAACACUGACGCUGAGGCACGAAAGCGUGGGGAGCAAACA
rnacentral:rRNA from 1 species